rnacentral:pre_miRNA from 1 species
UGGACAGAUUAUUGUAUUCGACUGUAUUCACGGUGUGAAAUAGGGGAGUACACUGUUUUUAAAACGGAAAGUGAAUCAAUUAACAUAAUAGACUCCU